AAGGCCCAGGACUACCUACCAAAGAAGGCUUCUGCCCUCUUUUCCAGCCCCUCGUCAACCUGCUGAGACUGGAUGUGUCCCUUUGGUUUCCUGUGCCACAGAGAAGCUGUUUUCCUCUGCUGACAGUCAAUGAGAAAACUAGUAUCUGAGAUGAAAUUGCGUGUCCUGCUUGUCAGGGAAAAGAGGAUGGAGAGAAGACUUGUGGUGAUCCACAAAGCAAAUUGUGGGAAACUACAGACCAAGAUAUCAGAAUCUAUCAUUAGCUCACAUAAAUACAAAGAAAAUUAACUAAUAAACUAAGAGAUAUCAAAACUUUGGGAUUAGGGAAGAGUUUGAUUCCUAUUUUUUUUUCUACCUCACCCAACUU